GGGAAGCAGGCGGGGAUAGGAGAGCUGCAAAAGGAGGUGGCGGCUCCUGAGCACCGGCGCCUCGCCCCUCAGUGAAGCACCGCCGCUCCCUGAGGCUGAUGGUGCUGCCGACCCGGGCGCCGUUACUGUCCUCCGCUCCGCGUGAGCGGCGUUUUCCUUCGGGGCUUCGCCGCGCAACUGCUGGGAAAAGUGGCUGUGCCCCUAGAGCGACUUAGCGCAAGGUAAUUCUCUAAUGGACCAAUGAAAGCCAACGAUGACAAGUUGUGGUCAACAUUCCUUGAAUGUGCUGAUGGUUCUGCUUUCAUUACUCUUGUCAGCAGUGUUGUCUGCACAUUUUCGGGUCUGUGAGCCAUAUACGGACUACAAAGGUCGCUACCACUUUGGUUUUCACUGCCCCCGUCUUUCUGACAAUAAAUCUUACAUCUUUUGCUGUCACCAUAACAACACAGUAUUUAAAUACUGCUGCAAUGAGACAGAAUUUCAGACUGUUAUGCAGAUGAACUUAACAGGGAACGCAGAUGGAUAUAUGCAUAACAACUACAGUGCACUGUUAGGAGUGUGGAUCUAUGGCUUUUUUGUGGUGAUCUUGCUGGUAUUGGACCUUUUAUAUUACUCUUCAAUGAACUAUGAUAUUUGCAAAUUUUACCUGGCACGGUGGGGAAUCCAGGGAAAGUGGAUGACACAGGGACAGAGCCGAUGGAUUAAUCCUGCUCAGGACCCAAGCCAAGUACAGACACAGCCUCAGCCAGAGACACAGCCUCAAACUCAGCCACAGCCUCAAACGUCACAGACAGUACAUACUUUAAAAGGAGAUGCUUUAAGCCCACCCCUGAUGUCGUUUCAGAGUACAUCUGCCUGUAUGGAAACCAUCUGAGGGCUGUCCAAAGGCCUGUGUGGUCUGAAGGUCCUGGUGGAUGUACCUUCUACAACCCAAACACCGUCACAGACUGCAAGUGAAUAAUCUUAACUGUUGUGGUGGUUCCUCCAGGUCAUCGCUGAGGUGCAUGAGCUGGGCCCCUCCAUGCUCACUGGUCCAUGUAAGAACCUACAGUCUGGUUAGCCUGGCCAAACUUCUAACAGCUGGAGAUCAAACAGCAACAAACAGGAGGCAAAUUGUUACUACUGCUCAACAAAAUACAAACCAGAAAUAUUGUAAGUUGAGGAAUCAAAAUCCUGACUACUGAAAAAACUUGUUCUCACAACCACUGGAUUGUUGUUAAUAACAACUAAAAAAGGUCAGACUAGCAAGGAAGAUCACAGAAGAGGGAGUGUGGGCCAGGGCAGCCUGGCAGAGUUUCUCCAGAUUCUCCGUGACCGUGAUGUGUUCCAGAUGUGACAGCGGAAGAGAUGAACAUGAUCUCUCUGCCUUGCUCUGAUGAUGUUAAGCUCCUCUCCACCUCUAUCAAGGAUGCAAAUCACAGGGAACACUGUCUUGAAGUCUAAUUUUUGACACUCUGUUCCCUGCCUUUCUGCACAACAGCACAGAGAGGCAAUGUCUGCACUGUAUGUGAUCAUAUAUGUUAUGCUACAUGACUCUCAGUUUCAGAAACCUGCUGUUGUCCAGAAGCAGGAAUAGUAUCAGCCCAGCAGGAAAAUUAUAUUUAUGUGCCUCAAGAUGGGAGAGGUAAGAUCCAACCUGAAGGAGCAGCUUCCAAGAAAAUCAACUAAAUAACAAGAGCUGAGAAAAUGAUGAAUAAUCAGAAGACAGAAAGACAGAGAGGUUGAGCAAGUCACCUAAAGAGAAACACCAUCCAGACAACUUCUAUAGAAAAAUUAUAUAGAAGAAGAAACUAGUCUGUAAGCAAUAUUUUAAUUCUAGACCGACAAUAUUCUUUCUGAAAGAAAUCAUCAUAUUUGAGGAAAUGCUAAAGAGGAAGAAAAUUGAGUUGCUCUGGCAAAUCCACAAAAAUGUGGAAAAAGAUCACAAGACAAACCUUUGGUAGAUAACUUUUACUUUGCCUCCCCAUCCAUCUAUUGCCAUUUGAGCCUAAUGUAAGUGUCAGAAUACUGAAUGUGAGUUUUUCCAAAGUUCUCUGGUGAAUAUUUUGUCACAAUAGGGUAGAUGCUGGCAAUCCCCAUCGCUGUUAACUAAAUUGUUGUAUACAUCACAAGGUAAGUGAAGCUCUUUCAUUGAGUCAAACUGCAGGGUAGCAAUCAUGUAAACCUUAAUACGCCUUUUAAGAUCAUUUGCAAUGAUUCCACUAAGAUGUCAAACAUCUGAGCACAUCUUGGCUUCAGCUUCACACACCCUCCUGAAGAGGGAAGCUUUAUUAAGAAGUGACACAGGCACCCCAUUCCACCCCAUAGUCCUUGAAGAUGAAAGAGAAACAGAAGAAAAUCAACAAACUAUAUGUUUCAAGAGCAAUAAUACACUUGUCCCACUGCUUUACAAGGCAAUAAUCUAAUUCCCUCAGCCACUGAUUGGCUUCAGAAUUUACCCCUCACAAAUCUAAGAAUUCAUUUGUAGGCCAGAAGGGUAACAAUGCUACCACAGAAGUAUGUGGAGUACUUAGUCACAAGGUUGCAAUAGCUUGACUUAACUUUCUACAGGACAGGUGCCAAAUUAGUCCUUCAUGCCUAAUAUUUUGUCCUGCAAAUCUGAACAACUUAAAAACAACUACAUAUUUUACUGCAUAACCAACACGAGGAACACCUUGUCAACAAACAAUCAAGUUUUCCUUUUGUACUACUUUGAUUUGAGUGCAGUUGAGUCUUCUGUUGAACUUGAAAGGGAUAGACUUCUGAGUGAUUUAAGCUAAUUCACAGCUACCAGAGCAGAGUGCAUGAUGGCACAUGUCUAAAGCCACAAAGGAUUAAAUAGUACUGGGUGAGCCAACAAGGCUGGAGACCACAGGAGUGCCCAGUCUUCACAAAAGGCCUAGUCUGUGUAGGAUACCAAGCUGCUCAUGCCCCUUUUCUUUACAAUCGAACUAGUAAAAGAUGUUGAGUAUUACUGAGUAAGGGCAGGCAACAGCUAAUAAAAAAGAAUUCAAGUGCCACAGGUGGGAGUGCCACCCUGCAGGCAUUGAGCUCCAUCCUGUCCUGUGUAAGCAAAAGGCCUGGCCUCUCCUCACAGAAGCUCCUGCAUAAGCACCUCUACAUGCAACUCAGUUUGCAGAGCUGCUGCAAUGCAGCUGGGUUGUUCUACAUUGUGAGAAAAAUAGCACUUCUGAUAAAAUGGAGUCAGUAUUUUUUUCCACCUUGAUUCACACUAAACCGAAGAUUCUAGUUUUCUAAAAAGAACAUUUCAUCAGAUCACUGCAGCACCAUUCAAAACACUUCAGCUGAGAACAAAAAGGACCUACAGCCAAGACUUGCUGUAAAGUAGCUUGCAGAUACUGUAGACAGUGCAAACUCCUCUCUCCUUGAUGAUGAGAGCUUCAGCAGGGAAAGGGUCAGUGCUCCUGAUGGUGGGGAAAUUGAUCCUAUGAGAUGUAAGGUGGUGCUGUAAGUGCCAGCUUGCAAGAAAAGCAAAAGAAACCAGGUAGCUGUAAGCAAUGCCAUCCAUGCCUCUGCCAGCAUCACAUCCUCUCCACACUCCCACGUCAGCUCCAAGAUCCAUAACCCCUGCAAAUACCUGACAAAGUCUGUAUCUACAGCAAUCAGUCUUACCUUGGCGCUUAGCAGUAACUGUUUGCUCCUUUUACUUUCUGCCAGCACCUGCUGUCUUUGUGAGGUGAUAACUGCCACAGAGAGCUUUGUAAAAAGCUUAUGUUCAUGAAGGAAUUUGUAUUAGAUACUGGUUUGUGUGACUUACUGUAUUUUGUAAGGGUUUUUUUCCCUUUGGGAAUUGUGUGUUAUUAAUGAGCAGUUUUAUGCUUUACUUCUAGUACAUGUAUACCUUGUAGUUGAUGUGCUUUUUGUUUGUUUGCUUUCUUUUAUUCUCGGUACAGAGCCAGUUAAUGUAAAGUAGAUACUUUCUGGCUGAAAUUCUGAUUUUGUCUACUAGUUAAUUUAUGGAUAAAUCUAUGUUGUAGCUGAUGAACAAUUGUUCAUCAAUUGUAUUGUUAUAAUCGUCUGAGAGCCUCUCUAGUUUAGCAGAAUGUAGGAUCCUGAACAAGACUAAUGCUUGUUGGGCCUUAAACUAAGGGGAAAUAGCUCACCACGUUUCCCUACCACCAUUGCUAUCGGCCCUUCUCCCCUAGCAUUUGGGACAUUGUAGAAGAGCACUGGGUAGAUAAACAGUCACCUGAACAUCUCAACCAUCUAUGUAGUGGUGCUCCGAUAUCCCUCUGCCUUUACCUAAUCAAAAUUAUGGUGGACCAGAUAAACUGCAAUGAAUUCUUCAAUUAUUUCUGCAGAAAGAGACUGGUUCGAAGACAAUAUAUCUCUAAAAUAAAAGACCUGGACUAAGAUAUAUUUUUCUCUAUGCCCAUCCUGAUAUAGUUGGAAAAAUAAAGGAUAUGAAAUUAACAUUUACAGAAGUGUAUAAUUCCCUUGCACACCCUGUUUAACAAUGGCAGAUGUCUGUCUCAGUAGCUAUUAAUGACCUUUGUGCUCCAGAAGCUCCCUUCCUUGUCCAGCUAAUUUUCUCUCUUCAGUUUUACCGAGAACUGAGUGUCCAACUUACUAAUAAUUGCUGUGUAUAACAUAGGACAUAAAAAGAUAAGUUAUAAAGCUUGUGCAGGACUUGGUGUUGUAAUUAACCAUCUUUCGUGCCUGGUUAUCGGUCUUACAAAAGCACAGAGUAAAAACAAUCUGGCCUCUUAAUGUGUACUUCAGCAUAUUGUAGCAGCUAUUUUAGAUGAUAACUGUUUUUAAUAGUUUUAUUAUGGCUGUAAUUUGUAUAUGAGGACUGUCCACCUGAAGAAGCAAUGAAGUAACAUGUCAAAGUGAUUUUUAAAGUCAGUAACCUCACCCACUUGCUAGGAAGAAGCAUCUUUUCUCAACUUCGAAAAUUCUCUUGUAUAAGACAGGUAUUUAUCCUAGUCCUUUUGCAUAAAUAGUAAAUUAGUAAGAAGAUAAUAUAUACAGUACAAUAGUCUAUUUUAAUGGUCUGCAGUCAAAUUUUAGGCUAAUUAAGCUAACUAGAAAUUCUAGGGUUACAGUGAUUUAUCAUUCUUUAUUAAUACAUUGACAGUAAUACUGUUUACAUAACAUUUGAUGUUUGAAAUCAAUACAUGCCGGUGUCCAGUGAUUUGCUAAUCUAAUUUCUGAUCAAAUCCUGUCCUAUUUUUUGCAGCAUUAUCUAACUUCAUAUUAAGAAUCAUGUUGUCUUUCUAAAGUGAUUGCCAAGUAAACCAAAAAUGUGUUUUACACUGCUAUUGCACUGCUCUUGUCUUUAUAUACAGUAGUUUUUAUAAAGAUGUCCUUAGGUUUUAAUAAAUGAGUGUAACGUAAACUAAUAUCUGUAAUAAAACUUGCUUUAAUGUUUCAAA